UACGAAGGGGGCUAGCGUUGCUCGGAAUCACUGGGCGUAAAGGGUGCGUAGGCGGGGCUUUAAGUCAGGGGUGAAAUCCUGGAGCUCAACUCCAGAACUGCCUUUGAUACUGAGGAUCUUGAGUUCGGGAGAGGUGAGUGGAACUGCGAGUGUAGAGGUGAAAUUCGUAGAUAUUCGCAAGAACACCAGUAGCGAAGGCGGCUCACUGGCCCGAUACUGACGCUGAGGCACGAAAGCGUGGGGAGCAAACAGG
rnacentral:rRNA from 1 species